rnacentral:piRNA from 1 species
UGAGGCAAAUGUAAUAGUCGUGAUUGAGC